CUGGCUCAGGAUGAACGCUAGCGGCAGGCCUAAUACAUGCAAGUCGAACGGUAUAUUACUUUCGGGUAAUAGAGAGUGGCGAACGGGUGCGUAACG
rnacentral:rRNA from 1 species